rnacentral:lncRNA from 1 species
CAAUUUUUCUCAUUUGAAAUUUCAUAAAUAAAAAAGAAAAUUUCUUCAAACAUUUUUUUGAGAGGAUUAAUAUUCAACAGCAUAGUGAAUUGCUCUAAGAGAAAACAAAAAUUUUAAGUUCAUUAGAACACAUUCAUUCUGUGUCAGAAACCUAUGCUGUGUCAACUAUUUAAUCACAAUCCAAAUUUAGAGCUGAAUCCAGCUUGAAUGUUGUGCCCAUACUUGCCCCAACCGUUCAGGGUUCAACCUCUGCGGUCGUAUAAAGCUACGCCCUGCGGAGCAUCUGGUUUACAGGUGUUU